rnacentral:lncRNA from 1 species
AAAAGAUAAAAAUUCUAGGUUAAACGUGAAAAGGAAAAAAAAAAAAAAAAAAAGAGACAAGGACUUUGUUUCCUUAUUUUCCGGAUACUAUUUGAUUCUCCAAAUCCAUCACGCAUCUUCAAGAUUUCCUUUCCAAUUUGAGUCACCAACGCUAACAAUCUCCACCUUGACUCAAAUUUCGGUGUAGCGAACGAAGCUCCAAAAUUUCUCUAGCUUGAGAAAUAAUCCGUCUGCAUCAGAAUAACCAAUCUCCUUAACACAGUAACCAAAACUCUCUACGAUAACACGUUCCCCCGCCCUACAUCCACAAGCGACACCCGAACCCAAAACUCGGGUUCCCAAAAUUCCACCAAGGAAUUACUGUUGACCAAAUAGAGUCGAAGCACACCCUGUAGGAAAAACCAAACACAGUGCUUGAUCAGAAUGUCCCUUGCCAGAACUAUCACCUUCAAUGAUCUCCAAAGCAUUCCAGACAUUAUUGACAACACUGUAUCUACGCUCCAUGGAUCUCCCCCUGGCAUUUGAACAUAGUGCAACUGUUGAAUUUGGUGGCAAAGCAGAAUCACCAAUUUUUUCCCUAGCAAUGUUCUGAACUGAUUCAGAGCCCAACACGAGAGGUAUUGUACCAAAUUGAAUGUCCACCACGGUACUGAACUUGUCCAAAUGUCUCUUCUUAACUGGUUCUGCGCUUCCCCGCAAAACGUAGAACUGGGAUCUCCUCCAUCCCUUCGAACCUUUAAGACUCUACCUGCACCAGAGAAUUUAUAGCCUUUUUCAUCCAGGGCACUUAGCGAAAUAAGAUUCCUUUUCAGGUCUAGAACAUGUUGAACUUGGUCAAGUGUUCUAACAGUUCCAUCCUGCAGCUUCAAUCUGACUUGACCGAUCCCAGCAACAGACAAGACUGGUUGUUUCCCAUGACAACUCCACCUUGCUGAACAGUCUCAUAUAUCUUAAAUAAAUU